GUCUAGGGGGUUGGUGGAAAGAUGGUCUAAACCGGUGGUUUUCGACCGCUACGACCCAGGUUCGAUUCCUGCAUUGGGCA